CCCUUAGAUGUUCUGGGCCGCACGCGCGCUACACUGACGAAUGCAACGAGCUUAUAACCUUGGCCGAAAGGUCUGGGUAAUCUCCAAAUUUCGUCGUGAUGGGGAUAGAUUAUUGCAAUUAUUAAUCUUCAACGAGGAAUGCCUAGUAAGCGCAAGUCAUCAGCUUGCGUUGAUUACGUCCCUGCCCUUUGUACACACCGCCCGUCGCUCCUACCGAUUGAAUGGUCCGGUGAAGCGCUCGGACCGCGACCUCUUGACGGUUCGCUGUCGAUUGGCUGUGGGAAGUUCGUUAAACCUUAUCAUUUAGAGGAAGGAGAAGUCGUAACA
rnacentral:rRNA from 1 species